rnacentral:rRNA from 1 species
UACGGAGGGUGCAAGCGUUGUUCGGAAUCACUGGGCGUAAAGGGCGUGUAGGCGGUCCGCUAAGUCUGAUGUGAAAGCCCGGGGCUCACCCCCGGAAGGGCAUUGGAAACUGGCGGACUCGAGUCUCGGAGAGGAAGGUGGAAUUCCCGGUGUAGUGGUGGAAUGCGUAGAUAUCGGGAGGAACACCAGUGGCGAAGGCGGUUACCUGGAGCUUUGCUGACGCUGAUGCGCGAAAGCGUGGGGAGCGAUCCGG